AACGCACCUUGCACCCUUUGGUAUUCCGAGGGGUACACCCGUUUGAGUGUCGUGAUAUUCUCAAACCUUCUUGGUUUCUUGACCAGGAAGGCUUUGGACUUUGGAGGCUUUUGCUGGCCUUCCCUUGUUGGAGCCAGCUCCUCUGAAAUGAAUUAGUGGGGUCUGCUUUGCUCAACCUUGACGUGAUAAGAUGGUUACUACGUCUUUGGGUUUUGCACUGUCGCUCUUAAAUCCUGCUUCUAACUGUCUCAUAGAAGACAAUGUUCGACAAACCUUGACCUCAAAUCGGGUGAGACUACCCGCUGAACUUAA
rnacentral:misc_RNA from 1 species